UGAUUUCCUACUGUUCGGCGCUGAUGAUUCUGGACAUUUUUCCGUGUUGUCAAUAAUGACUUUAAUGAUCUGCAAAUUGAUUUAUAGUCGAAAAACGGAAACAUCAUUGCCUACUCAGUAAGACUACUGGGAUAUUAUGGUUCAGGUUUAUGUUUUUUAUGUUCGGUGGAUUUACUUUUGAAGGCCUAAAUAAUAUUAUUGUAGUUUCAAAAAACAUUCAGGGAGGAUAUAGUUCUGCAGCCUCGCAAGCAUCAACUGUUUGCAGAUACCUCUGGGCCACAGCAAAUCUCCCAACGGCCUCGGCUGUGACAAUAUUUUGGUUGAAAAUAAGUCAUAGGAGAAAUCCGUUUGAUUCUGGGGUACAACUCAGAAUCUUGCAUUGCCUUGGGUGAGAACACAGAGGAGGAAGAUAGAGAUGGUGGCUCUUACAUGAAAGGCCUGGACUCCUCUCAAAAACCUGG
ensembl:lncRNA